UAAGGAAUAUUGGGCAAUGGGGGAAACCCUGACCCAGCAACGCCGCGUUGAGGACGAAGGCCUUCGGGUUGUAAACUCAUUUUCUCGUGGACGAGGAAGGACGGUACACGAGGAAUAAGUCACGGCUAACUACGUGCCAGCAGCCGCGGUAAAACGUAGGUGGCAAGCGUUAUCCGGAUUUACUGGGCGUAAAGCGUGUGCAGGCGGAGGGCAAAGUGAGCUAUGAAAUCCCGGUGCUUAACACAGGGAUGGUAGCUCAGACUAGUCGUCUGGGGACUGAGAGAGGGAUGUGGAAUUCCGGGUGUAGUGGUGAAAUGCGUAGAGAUCCGGAGGAACACCAGAGGCGAAAGCGGCAUCCUGGCUCAGAUCUGACGCUCAGACACGACAGCAUGGGGAGCGAACGGGAUUAGAAACCCCGGUAGUCCAUGCCGUAAACGAUGCAGACUAGGCGCUGGGUGGCUCAACCCACUCGGUGCCGCAGCUAACGCGAUAAGUC
rnacentral:rRNA from 1 species